AACACUUUAGUUUAGGGACCAAUUCUCAUCAUUAACUAGUUACUAAUUAGCAUGCACAUUGCUAGCAUAUUGGCUGUUUAAUAUUAUUUAUAAAGCACAUAUUCUGCAUGACCAUAUUCUGUAUCUUUAAUCCUACCUAAUACCUAAACUUAUUUAUCUUACUAACAAUUAGAACUGUACCUUAUUAUGUGCAUUAUUACUGCACCUUAUUACAUACUUCUUUAAUUCAUUUCAAUCUUCUUGUACAAGUUACUGUAUAAUUUACUAGAUCAAAAAUUCUGUAAGCUCUUUUUUUUUUUUUAAAUACAGUAAAUCCCAUGAAGAAUGAAAGAUAUUGUAGCAAAAGUGAUCUCACAUGCAUUCUGCUAGAAGGUGGAGCUCCAGGAACCAUCCUAGUUCAGUCUCAGUUCAGUUGUUUAAAAACAGAGCAGACAUACAUUCAGUCAUUUAUACUCUGAAACUGUUCAUCUUGACCCUCAAAGUCUUUGUCUCUAAUUAGUGCAGAUGUUGCUCCUGGUAUUUAUUAUAUUUUCUCUCCUAAAAGAGAAUGCUGGUGAAGAUGUCAUAAAACCUGUCUUGACAGAGAAGCAGGUUUUGGAAGGAAAAGAUGUUACACUGAUCUGCAGCUACACUGAAGCUGUCAAUAAUUUACAGUGGUAUCGUCAGUAUCCCGGAUCCAAACCUGAGCACCUCAUCUUGUUCUAUGAGACCAUCCUCAAAUCAGAGCCUGCUCUCCGUCUGAACGCUGCAGCUGAUAAAGCAGCCAAAAGUAUGAAUCUGACCAUCUCUUCUACAGAAGUGAAAGACUCUGCCGUGUACUACUGUGCCCUGGAGCCCACAGUGACAGGAAACACAACUGCACUGUACAAAAACAGAGUGAGAAAGGAUAUUUAAGACAGAAGAUGAUGAUGCACAAUGCAGAUUUUAAAACUACACUCUUUAUAAACUGGACCAGUUGCAACCUUUUGGAAUAGUUUUCAAACACAUGUACAGUACAAUUGAUAGUGUCCUCACCAUUAAUAUUGUCAGUCUACUUCUUAAUACAGAUAUGAAUAGUAAAAAUAAAUACAGUGCAACUGCUAUGUUUGCAUAAUAUCAACUUAUUUAUAUACUGUACAUACUUGUAGGGUGAAAUGAGUGUAGGUAUGUGUGGGAGGAGCUCAAGGUUUUGUCAACUUCAGUGGAAGAAAUCAAAAAGACAACACUGACUUUCCUUCAUACAGAUCCUGAUAGAAGUCUGAACUCAAACUACAGAAACAUGUUACUCAUCUCAUCCAUUUUCAUUUUUAUCCUCAGUUACUGUAUGUAUUGUUACUCUUACAAUGUAAUACACAUUUGCACCGUUUUCCAGAACAUCACUAAAAAUAAAUAAAAAACUUGCAUAAUAAUUACAGUCCUUGAGUCUUCUAAUCUCUCUGGACAGUGACAGUCUUUAUUACUGUACCUUAUUACAUACUUCUUUAAUUCAUAAUUUCAAUCUUCUUGUACAAGUUACUGUAUAAUUUACUAGGUCAAAAAUUCUGUAAGCUCUUUUUGUUUUACAUUACAGGACAGUACAGUACAUGAUGAAUUAUGAGAUAUUAUAGGAAAAAGUGAUCUCACAUGCAUUCUCCAGAAGGUGGAGCUCCAGGAACCAUCCUAGUUCAGUCUCAGUUCAGUUAAAACAGAGCAGACAUACACUGAGUCAGUCAUACUCAGAGAGAGAACUGGAAGUCUUGACUCUCAAAGUUAUUGUCUUUCAUUAGUGUAGAUGUUGCCCCUCGUAUUUAUUAUAUUUUCUCUCCUAAAAGGUGAGUGAUUCAACAAGCUUUUUAUACUGUUAACAAAUCUGAAUUAGUCCAUUAGAAAUGAUUAAUUAAAACAUUGUUUGUUUUAAACAGAGAAUGCUGGUGAAGAUGUCAUAAAACCUGUCUUGACAGAGAAGCAGGUUUUGGAAGGAAAAGAUGUUACACUGAUCUGCAGCUACACUGGCACUGUUCAGAGUUUACAAUGGUAUCGUCAGUAUCCCGGAU